UGGUGGAGUGAUUUGUCUGGUUAAUUCCGUUAACGAACGAGACCUCGACCUGCUAAAUAGUUCGGCGAACUCUCUGAGUUCGUACGUGACUUCUUAGAGGGACUAUCGGUGUGUAGCCGAUGGAAGUUCGAGGCAAUAACA
rnacentral:rRNA from 1 species